rnacentral:rRNA from 1 species
GAAUCCCGUGAACCAUCGAGUCUUUGAACGCAAGUUGCGCCCGAAGCCUUCGGGCCGAGGGCACGCCUGCCUGGGCGUCACGCAUCGCGUCGCGACCCCCCCCAGCCCCGCCCGGUCCGGGCGGCGCUCGGGGUGGGGGCGCGGAGACUGGCCUCCCGUGCGCGCCCGCCGCGCGGCCGGCCC